GGGGAGGGGGGCGCGGGGGAGCCGUCGCGUUGGAGACGGCGGGAUCGGCGUUCCAAUCCCCCCUCCCUCCC